rnacentral:rRNA from 1 species
GCUUAACACAUGCAAGUCGAACGAACCUUCGGGUUAGUGGCGGACGGGUGAGUAACGCGUGAGAAUCUGCCCUCAGGAGGGGGAUAACGGUUGGAAACGACCGCUAAUACCCCAUAUGCCGAUAGGUGAAAUGAAUUUCGCCUGAGGAUGAGCUCGCGUCUGAUUAGCUAGUUGGUGAGGUAAUGGCUCACCAAGGCUUCGAUCAGUAGCUGGUCUGAGAGGAUGAUCAGCCACACUGGGACUGAGACACGGCCCAGACUCCUACGGGAGGCAGCAGUGGGGAAUUUUCCGCAAUGGGCGAAAGCCUGACGGAGCAACGCCGCGUGAGGGACGAAGGCCUCUGGGCUGUAAACCUCUUUUCUCAAGGAAGAAGAUAUGACGGUACUUGAGGAAUAAGCCACGGCUAAUUCCGUGCCAGCAGCCGCGGUAAUACGGGAGUGGCAAGCGUUAUCCGGAAUUAUUGGGCGUAAAGCGUCCGCAGGCGGCCUUUCAAGUCUGCUGUUAAAGAGUGGAGCUUAACUCCAUCAUGGCAGUGGAAACUGAUAGGCUUGAGUAUGGUA